GCCUAACACAUGCAAGUCGAACGAAACGCGCACCGUGUUGAUCUCUGAGUGUGGGGCACGAGGUGAUGUAUACAUGUGAACAUAAUCCCCGGCGCGAAUAAUACGCGGACCAUCGGGCUAGUACCUGAUACUUCCAUAGGGAGAAGAUUGAUCUGCGACGGAUAGGACCGAUUCCCAUAAGGUUGGCGGUGCGGCUUUUUCCUCCUAGGUGACGAUCGGGCUCUGGUCUGAUAGGAUGAUUAGCAGUCUGCGACUGUGACCAGGCCCAUAGUCAUAGGGAAAGCGUCAAUAGCAUUAUGGAAGCAUGGGCGCGGACCUGAGCCCAUCGUGCCGAAUACUUGGCAACGACCUCGCGUGUUAGAUGCCCUCCCCCGGGUAGUAUACUAGAGGAGGAGGGGAG
rnacentral:rRNA from 1 species